AUUCUCAAGCUGAUGGAGUGAGUGAUGGAGUAGGUUGCCAACUGUAGUUACUCCACUCAGCGCAGAAUGGCUGCAGGGAAUAUAUUCAGACAUGCCCAAAGAAGUCUGCCCAGGGUGAAACAAAUACCUUUGAGGUUUAAAUCAGAAAGGAAGGAGAGGCUGUUUCUACAGGUGUCUUUGAAAAAUCAAUACUGAGCCACGGAUUAUUGGAUCCCACAGAACCAUGGAGACUUGGCAGUGAAAUUCUUCCAAAGGCAGACGGUGUUCCUAGGUUUGGAAAUAUAAAUCCCACGGGAAGUCAGCUGAAGAACAUUUUAUGCAUCACUCAUCCUAUUAUGAGCCCUGUGCUGUUCCAUCUCUCUACAAGAUUGGUUGAAACAACAACAACAAAAGUUGUUUACAAUUUGUACUCUAACUUUGGAUCACCUAAUUAAUAUCCUGACCCUGAUUACACCCAAAGACAGUGUUCUAUAUAAAAAGACUCUCUAUUAGAAGAAUCCUAACAUGUUAUUAAUAAAAUCACAGGGAAAAUUAAACAUUUUGGAUAUCACAUCUGAUGAGUUGGCAGUUAAAGAACAGAAACAGAGCAAUAAGACUGCAUGGCUGCAUUUUCCCAGUGCCACCAACUGGGAGUUAAGCUGACUAACAUUUUGAAAGCCCAGCCCAUUUCGUUCACAGCAGGACGGCAGUGGGUGACUGAUCAUCCCCGCCAGCUGGCUAAUAUCAUAAUUAACAAAGUUGCUACUACGUCUGCAAAGUUUAAUCGAAAAAUUUGCCAGUGAUAUGAUGGCAUUGUCAUAGAGAUCACAAGGGACACGGAGCUGACUUUUGCUGAAGGUGGAACGGCAGAGCUGUGUAGGCAAGAUGAGAAAUUGCGAACUUGUUCAGCCAAAGGAGGCUAAUAAUGAAGGGGCCAGGGAAGGAGGCCAGUGCUGCAAGGGUUAUCUCACAACCUCAGAUGCUGGAUAAGUCGAAGGAGGCAGACUCGCUUUGGGAUGACAUUCAGAAAGGCUGGAGUGAUUAUUUGGAAGAGAAAAGCCUGCCUAUUCUUUCCAAGGU